UUUCGCUAUUAGAUGAGCCUGCGUGAGAUUAGCUAGUUGGUGGGGUAAAGGCCUACCAAGGCGACGAUCUCUAGCUGGUCUGAGAGGAUGAUCAGCCACACUGGGACUGAGACACGGCCCAGACUCCUACGGGAGGCAGCAGUGGGGAAUAUUGGACAAUGGGCGCAAGCCUGAUCCAGCCAUGCCGCGUGUGUGAAGAAGGCCUUAGGGUUGUAAAGCACUUUCAGGAGUGAGGAAGGGCGUAUAGUUAAUACCUGUAUGUUUUGACGUUAACUCCAGAAGAAGCACCGGCUAACUCUGUGCCAGCAGCCGCGGUAAUACAGAGGGUGCGAGCGUUAAUCGGAAUUACUGGGCGUAAAGCGCGCGUAGGCGGUUUGUUAAGUCGGAUGUGAAAUCCCAGGGCUCAACCUUGGAAUGGCACCCGAUACUGGCAGGCUAGAGUACGGUAGAGGGGUGUGGAAUUUCC
rnacentral:rRNA from 1 species